GAUGAAGAACGCAGCGAAAUGCGAUAAGUAAUGUGAAUUGCAGAAUUCAGUGAAUCAUCGAAUCUUUGAACGCACCUUGCACCCUUUGGUAUUCCGAAGGGUAUGCUCGUUUGAGUGUCAUUGUACUCUCACACUUCUAAUUCCUUUCGGGAUUGGGAGCGGUGGACUUGGGUGUUGCUGCUUUAGUUGUGGCUCACCUCAAAUAAGUUAGUGCAACUCUUGGUUGGACAUAGUACGGCGUGAUAAGUGUCUUCGCCGGCGCCUCUGUAAGGAGGGUGGCCGAUCGGGAGCUCUGUGCUUCAAACCGUCUUCGGACAAUCUUUGACAACUUGACCUCAAAUCGAGUAGGACUACCCGCUGAACUUAAGCAUAUCAAUAAGCGGGA
rnacentral:misc_RNA from 1 species